AAUGAAAUAUUGCCACAUUUUUAUUGAACACACCAUGUAAACAUCCACUUUUUCCACCUGCACUGUGAAUGUUUACAUGGUGUGUUCAAUAAAAACAUGGGAACAUUUCAUUC